GUCCCCUGUUAAGCAAAUGGAUACGCUUUGGGACUUCUAAUCCAAAAGUCGUGGGUCCGAAUCCCACCUGGGAUG